CCCCUAAUUUGUUGACCAAUGAGAAACAAAGAUCCUUUUUAGGGUUCCUAACUGUCAUUGUUCACAAUCUUUACGUAGCUUUCACGUGUUUUGUCAAGUCAGUUGCAUCUUGCACAUCUAAAUCACACAACGUGUCUUAACCGUCGCAAUCAUGUCUCACCGCAAUUUGUCAUAGUUGGUGCGAAACCGUAUAAUCACUUUAAGAGACGAAGGAUAUAAUAUUAGUGAAAUCUCGGAAGAAUUACAAAUUACCAGAGCUUCAGCACGCCGCUGGGUUCACCGCUACGA